AUUCCUGUAGUGCAACGGAUAGCACGUUGGGUCUAAUCCAAAGGUCGUGGGUUCGAAUCCUACCUGAGAUG